AUUGAACGCUGGCGGCAGGCCUAACACAUGCAAGUCGAGCGAGCGGCGGACGGGUGAGUAAUAUCUGGGAACCUGCCUGAUGGAGGGGGAUAACUACUGGAAACGGUAGCUACUACCGCAUACCAUCAGAUGUGCCCAGAUUGGAUUGGCUGGUAGGUGGGGUAACGGCUCACCUAGGCGACGAUCCCUAGCUGGUCUGAGAGGAUGACCAGCCACACUGGAACUGGGACACGGUCCAGACUCCUACGGGAGGCAGCGGUGGGGAAUAUUGCACAAGGGGCGCAAGCCUGAUGCAGCCAUGCCGCGUGUGUGAAGAAGGCCUUCGGGUUGUAAAGCACUUUCAGCGGGGAGGCGUUACCCGCAGAAGAAGCACCGGCUAACUCCGUGCCAGCAGCCGCGGUAAUAC
rnacentral:rRNA from 1 species